GCCCUUCCUGUUUAACAAAAACAUGUCUUUUUGAUUAUAAUAUAAAGUCUGACCUGCCCACUGAAUUUUGAAGGGCCGCAGUAUUCUGACUGUGCAAAGGUAGCAUAAUCAUUUGCCUUUUAAUUAGAGGCUAGUAUGAAUGGUUGAACGAAAUACAAACUGUCUCACUUUUAAAAUUUUAAUAAUUUAGCUUUCUAGUCAAAAGGCUUGAAUGAUAUUAAAGGACGAGAAGACCCUAUAGAACUUUAUAUAUUUUUAUUUGUAUUUAUUUAGUAAAAUAUUUUUAUACAUAUAAUAAUAUAUUUUGUUGGGGUGACAGGGAAAUUUAUUUAACUUUCUUAAAAUUAUAACAUAGAUUAAUGAAUAUUUGAUCCAUUAUUAUUGAUUAAUAGAAUAAGUUACCUUAGGGAUAACAGCGUAAUUUUGUUGGAGAGUUCAUAUCUAUAACAAAGUUUGCGACCUCGAUGUUGAAUUAAAGAAAUUUUAGAGUGCAGAAGCUUUAAGUAAUAGGUCUGUUCGACCUUUAAAUCUUU
rnacentral:rRNA from 1 species